ensembl:lncRNA
CAAGGUUGCUCGUGGACCUUUAACCCUCCGCACGCCUCCCAUUUUGGCGGUUCGUGGGAAAGAAUGAUUGGUCUUGCAAGGAGAAUCCUGGACGCCAUGUUCCUUCAGCUGAAGGACAAACUUACCCACGAGGUGCUGGUGACUUUCAUGGCAGAAGUUACAGCCAUUAUAAAUGGCAGACCUCUUGUUCCUGUGACAACCGACUCUGAGGAUCCAUUUAUACUCACUCCAGCUGCCCUUCUCACGCAAAAGGUGAAUGUCUUGACUGCCCCUACCGGAGAGUUUGGAGUUUCAGACCUCUACAAGCGCCAGUGGCGACAGGUCCAGCACCUGUCUAACACCUUCUGGGACAGAUGGCGAAAGCAAUAUCUCCCGACACUACAGGCACGUAAGAAGUGGCAUUCCGCUCAUCCAAACAUCAGCCCAGGAAGUGUUGUUAUCCUCAAGGAUAGUCAAGCACCAAGAAAUGAAUGGCCUCUUGGACUGGUAACACAGGCGUUCCCCAGCGAGGACGGGAAGAGCCCUAGUGGAGUGAACUGUCUAGGAUUUAUUGGGUGGCGUGUAUUCACGCCAAGCGGGGAGUGUUUUGUCACAAACGUUAAAUCAAUGCUAUGUUUUAUUUUGAAAACAGGAAAUGUGAUGUAAUUUGUCAGGUGACAGGAACCAGGAAGUCAAUGAAGAAUAUGGCUCAGAACUGCUGUUUGUAUUGGUAGCUUUUCAAUCCAGUUGAGUCUGCAUGCAUCCUAUACCUUUUUGAUAGCAUCGUUGUUUUACUCUUUCUCAUGUCAAUAAACCUGUGGACAACGGACCAUUGUCUUCAGAGUCGUGAUGUCAGAAAAGAGUUCGUCUAACUGCCAAGGUGUAUCGGAGCGCAUAUACCGAGGGCGGCAUAAGCAG